UCCAAAUGAUGGCUUGGCACCAGGCUCCUGUCCAGACUCGUGCAAUUUGAUUAGAUAGGGGUAAGAGCAUUCCUGGAGCCAAGCCAAUAACAAUUACUCCCUCUGUUCCUAAAUAUGUCUUUCUAAAGAUUUCAAAUGGACUACCACAUACACUGGCGGAGGGCUCCGGUGAACAGGGUAUGUCACCCGUCAUAUCUUGAUUUUUGGCCAAGAAAAUAAUUAUAUAUGUAUCUAUCGCUUUUGUACCUGGACAUCGGCUUGAGAGCCUCGACAUACCCCACAAAAAAAACGAACGCUCACACACAGAACGAUGCGACAACUCCACCCACCCAGACCUAGCGCGGUGGCGGCGGCUGGCCAGGUCGCGAGGACCAGGCGGGCGCGACGACGGGCAGUCGACGGCGGCAACGGGCUGGGGGCUUGGAGGGCUGCUGCACAGCGGCGGCUCCAGGCCUCCAGCGGCGUAGCAAGCGGCGGCUCCAGCGGCGGCUCCGUCGACGGCUUCACCGGCGGCUCCAGGGGGCGACGGCCACAACCGGGGUCAGGGAUUUUUCUGAUUGCCAGAAGAUGGAAGGAAGGGGGAAGGGACUAGCAAAUUCAAAGAAAAGAGGAAGAGAUUUGAAAAGGUAUUUUGAAGUGAUUGGUAGUGGCAGCAGCUCAAAAACGAAUCCAAGCACCCGCGAAAAUGUCAAUAUUUCAGCAAAUGUCAAUCAUCAAGAUCAAGUGACUUCCAUGAAAGUAGAUCAUGAAAAUUUGAUGCCAACCGAACAAGUGGAAGAACAAACUAUAGAUUCCGUCGAAGCUAUAGUGGAAGAGAAUGUUGAAUUUCACGGGGUUGAAGGUAUAACUGUUUUUAGUGAAGAUUACAUAAAGGGUGAUCCAGGACUUCUGAAAGAACAUGUGGUGUCCCCAUGUUUGGUUUUGGUAAUUGACGACAAUCUCUAUGGACUAAUGGUUGUCUUGAGUUAUAUUUGAAGGUUUGUCCAUAGGCUUUUCUUGGAGUACAUA